rnacentral:lncRNA from 1 species
CGUUGUAGAUAGUAAUUUCAAUUAAAAAAAACUUUCUAGAACAAAAAGAAUUAUGUAUAAAUUUAAAUUCAGAAAAACUUUCUAGAAUAAAAAAGUUUUCGGUAUAAAUUUCAAUACGGAAAAACUUUCUUGACUAAAAGGAAUUAUGUACAAAUAUGUAUAGAUAUUUAAAUAAAAAACCUCAUAGUAUUUUAUCAAUGUUAAGACAUGGAACAUCGUAACUGUAUCCUUGAUGAAGCAUCAACUGCUAUUAGUUUACUAUGGAACAAGUUGAAAUCGAUGUCAUCAGAGUCAUCAAAUAACAAUAACAUCAAUAUCAGAUUUUGCAUUUAGUAUUAGGUAUCAAAAGUAUCUCAAAUAGCAGUUUCUUGAUGACAAGAACACAUAUGGCAAGUUUCCGCGUUCUUUCAACUUAUCAUUAUUAUUUGUGCUAAAUUUAAUAUUUGUACUAAAUAGUUCUCAUUAUAUAUACGAUAUUUUAUUUUAUAAAUUAAAAACGAAUCAGUUUAUAUUUACGAUCACGAGUUUGUAAAGUUUUAAUAAAAAAUAAAUAAAAAACAACAACAACAAC